rnacentral:rRNA from 1 species
UACAGAGGUCUCGAGCGUUAUGCGGAAUCACUGGGCUUAAAGCGUGUGUAGGCGGGUCGUUAAGUGCCUUGUGAAAUCCCAUGGCUCAACCAUGGAACUGCUGGGCAUACUGGCGAUCUUGUGCCACCUAGGGGCGAGCGGAACAGAUGGUGGAGCGGUGAAAUGCGUAGAUAUCAUCUGGAACGCCAAUGGUGAAAACAGCUCGCUGGGGGUGUGCAGACGCUGAGACACGAAAGCCAGGGGAGCGAACGGG